UGUGUAGGCGGUUGUUUAAGUUUGGUGUGAAAUCUCCCGGCUCAACUGGGAGGGUGCGCCGAAUACUGAAUGACUCGAGUGCGGGAGAGGAGAGUGGAAUUCCUGGUGUAGCGGUGAAAUGCGUAGAUAUCAGGAGGAACACCGGUGGUGUAGACGGCUCUCUGGAUCGUAACUGACGCUGAGACACGAAAGCGUGGGUAGCAAACAGGAUUAGAUACCCUGGUAGUCCACGCCCUAAACGAUGCAUAUUUGGUGUGGGCAGUUCAGUCUGUCCGUGCCGGAGCUAACGCGUUAAAUAUGCCGCCUGGGGAGUACAGUCGCAAGGCUAGAA
rnacentral:rRNA from 1 species